GCAGACUCACUCUGCACCUGGCUGCAGCCCCAGGCGGGUGCUUUUUCCGUCUGCCAGAGUAACAUCCCAGGGUGCUGUGACCACCUUGACCUAUCAAGGGUGAUGCAGUUGUCUGGGGACACGGUG
ensembl:snoRNA